AUUGAACGCUGGCGGCAGGCCUAACACAUGCAAGUCGAACGGUAACAGGGAUCAGCUUGCUGAUUCGCUGACGAGUGGCGGACGGGUGAGUAAUGUCUGGGAAACUGCCUGAUGGAGGGGGAUAACUACUGGAAACGGUAGCUAAUACCGCAUAACGUCGCAAGACCAAAGAGGGGGACCUUCGGGCCUCUUGCCAUCGGAUGUGCCCAGAUGGGAUUAGCUAGUAGGUGGGGUAACGGCUCACCUAGGCGACGAUCCCUAGCUGGUCUGAGAGGAUGACCAGCCACACUGGAACUGAGACACGGUCCAGACUCCUACGGGAGGCAGCAGUGGGGAAUAUUGCACAAUGGGCGCAAGCCUGAUGCAGCCACGCCGCGUGUAUGAAGAAGGCCUUCGGGUUGUAAAGUACUUUCAGCGGGGAGGAAGGGAGUAAAGUUAAUACCUUUGCUCAUUGACGUUACCCGCAGAAGAAGCACCGGCUAACUCCGUG
rnacentral:rRNA from 1 species